GUGCAGUGGCACGAUCUUGGCUCACUGCGACCUCCGCCUCCCAGGCUCAAGCAAUUCUCCUGCCUCAGCCUCCCGAGUAGCUGGGACUACAGGUGCCCGUCACCACGCCCGGAUAAUUUUUGUAUUUUUACUAGAGACGAGGUUUCACCAUAUUGGCCAGGCUGGUCUCGAACUCCUGACCUUGUGAUCCUCCUGCCUCGGCCUUCCAAAGUGCUGAGAUUACAGGCAUGAGCCACCACGCCUGGCCGGAGGGUAGGACUUCUGAGAUUUUCAGACUCUAUCAUGCCUAGCUUUGUGUGUAGAUUGGCAGGUUCCUGGUCAAAGGAGUGCAGUUGGGAGGACUAGGGACCUACUGACCCUCUUUUCCCCAGGCGUGCUCCCAUGCAUAUGCCCACACUCUCCCACACACUCCUGCUCCUGCCCUCCUGGCCUGUGACUCUUGGUGCCUCUUCUUGCAGCCAGUGUGGCUGUCUGUGGACUUUGAUAACUGGAGAGACUGGGAAGGGGAUGAAGAGAUGGAGCUGGCUCAUGUGGAACAUUAUGCAGAGCUUUUGAAGAAGGUCAGCACCAAGAGACCUCCACCUGCCAUGGAUGAUUUGGAUGAUGAUUCUGACAGUGCUGAUGAUGCAACAAGUAAUUAACUUUCUGUGACGCAAAGCUGGGAAGGCAGCUGUGGCUAUUUUCCAGUUGUUCUAGAAAGCUAGCGCCUAGGCCUUUGUCAGCGCUUUGGCUGUGCACCAAGUUCUUC
rnacentral:lncRNA from 1 species